GCGGAUGGCGGAGAACACCAGCCACAAGUCCUACCGGCCCCUCUGCGUCCUCACCUUCAAUUCUCCAGGUGUCUGAGCAAAGGCCCAAGAGAAGGAAGCCCACUUGGUCUCUUUGAUGAGGAGGUGGAGGGCACUGCUUCUGACACAGCAGAAGGCAGGUAUCAGUGAGGGAGGUGCCACAAGACCAUGAAUAACAGCUCACUGGAGGCAAAAGGCUGGCAGAGAAGAUACUGGCUGGUUACGGCCAUUUAAUUGUUGCAGUGACUCAGGAAGAUGAAGUUGGCUGAAGGACUGCAGAUGAUACCUGGUCUUCCUUGAAGGAGAUGGAUGUCACAGUUCACUGGAAAUGAGCUCAGAUCCAUGAGGGGGUAAGAGUGCUUCCUCCAGCUGCUGCUUGGGCUGUUUGGGUCUGGAAGGAGGAGCUGGGAGAGAUAAGUCAUUGAGAGAAACUCAGUUGUCCCACGGGAAAAGACAUAGGCACACAGUUGGAAUGUCGAGCUAUCUCACUAGUCCUCUGACAGUAAAAAUGGAAAGAAAAAAAAAAAAAA